GCUGGGCAUGGUGGUGAAUGUCUGUAAACCCAGCAGCUGGGAGGCUGAGACAGGAGGAUUGCAAGUUCAAAGCCAUCCUCAGCAAAAGUGAGGCACUAAGCAACUCAGUGAGACCCUGUCUUUA
rnacentral:sRNA from 1 species